CUAUCCUUUGUCUGCUUGAAACCCGAGCUCUAACAGGCCUUGGAGGACCGAACCCGCGUAUGUGGUAAAAUACGGGGAUGACUUGUGGCUAGGGGUGAAAGGCCAACCAA
rnacentral:rRNA from 1 species